CAGGUCUGCUUCCAUGAGCUUAGAGGAGAGCCCUGGCACCCCUCACCUGCUGGAAGCAGCACCUUUGUCCUGCAGAGCACAGCCAGCUGCUCCGGCCACCGCCGCUUCCCAGGGAACACUGGCAGCGAAGAGAUUCCUUAUCCCCAAGGCAGCUCCACACCCCCACCCUGCAGUGAGGGCUGCUGCAGGACGGGGGCACUCACCUGCCGGGGUGUGAGACACAAAGCGGUGAGCAGUAAAGGAGGACGAGAAUUGGGCCUCUGAAAACGACUGGACUGGGAUGGCUCCUGUAUGCUGUCAGUGCUGCCACAGGGCUGACAGGCAGAUCUGCACACCAGCAUCCAGCCCAUGGCCACCAUACGCUGACAUUCAGAGCUGGGAUGGGCUCCUUGGGAGGACCCCUGGCCUGCAGGCCGCCCACACUGCUGGAGAGGCACACAUCACACAGCAGUUUGGAGCUGCUCAACAGCAACAGAACAGUGCAGCAAAUUAAGUGCCACGCAGGCUGGGCACCAACAGCCGCUCUGCCCCUUCACACACAACACCAAACCAUCCAUCUCUUCUCUUUCCCUCCUUGCUAGCUUGCUUAAAGCAGUUUGUAGAAUAACAGGAGAUGCUAAACACGGUACUCUGCUGUUCAACACAUCGUGCCUGCUUUUGUUUUCGAAUGGGAGAGAUGAUAAAUCCUGAUCCUCGUUCUUUGAAAACUCCUCCAAGGAACAAACGUGAAGAAGUGUUUCUGAUCACCCCAGUUUCCCCGCCGCGCUUCCCAGUGCCCACCCAGCCCAGCCCGGAGCACCGGGACGGAGCACCCACAGCAUCCCCUUUCUUGGGUUCUGUUUUGUUGUAGAGAAAGGUUUCCUUCUCAGAACAGAAAGGAAAAGCUCUCAAUGGCAAGAAUUCUUUGUGCUGCAGAUUUGCUGCAAUAUAGGUGAGUGCCAAAUGAUUCAAAAACUGUGAAGAAUUCCAGCACACAUCACAGUCAGUGCAGCUCUCUCUGAACAGAGAACAGCCCGGAGGUCAGCAGGCAUAGCAGCAGCCGUGCUGCCCAGCAUAUUCACAUGUACCACACGGUUUUGCACAGGAACGUCUCCAAAACAAAUCUCAGCCUGAGCUGAAAUCUCUCUUUCGCUCCUACGUGAAUAUUUCAUUGUACUUAACCAAAGCCCCAAAAGAUGAGGGGAAGCAAAUAGGUAGGAUCCAUUUCUGGUGCGAUGAGGCCGGAAUGGUGCAUCACAGCUCUCAUCUUGGAGGCCUCCAUCACUACUGAUGAGUUCUAAGAGUGAUGAACAUAACCAUAAACCCUUUGUUUCAAUAA
rnacentral:lncRNA from 1 species